UACGUAGGGUGCAAGCGUUAAUCGGAAUACUGGGCGUAAAGCGUGCGCAGGCGGUGAUGUAAGACAGAUGUGAAAUCCCCGGGCUCAACCUGGGAACUGCAUUUGUGACUGCAUCGCUGGAGUGCGGCAGAGGGGAUGGAAUUCCGCGUGUAGCAGUGAAAUGCGUAGAUAUGCGGAGGAACACCGAUGGCGAAGGCAAUCCCCUGGGCCUGCACUGACGGCUCAUGCACGAAAGCCGUGGGGAGCAAACAGG
rnacentral:rRNA from 1 species